rnacentral:rRNA from 1 species
CCUACGGGGGGCAGCAGUGGGGAAUAUUGGACAAUGGGGACAACCCUGAUCCAGCCAUGCCGCGUGUGUGAAGAAGGCCCUCGGGUUGUAAAGCACUUUCAGUGAGGAAGAACGCCUGGUGGUUAAUACCCAUCAGGAAAGACAUCACUCACAGAAGAAGCACCGGCUAACUCCGUGCCAGCAGCCGCGGUAAUACGGAGGGUGCGAGCGUUAAUCGGAAUUACUGGGCGUAAAGCGCGCGUAGGUGGCUUGAUAAGCCGGUUGUGAAAGCCCCGGGCUCAACCUGGGAACGGCAUCCGGAACUGUCAAGCUAGAGUGCAGGAGAGGAAGGUAGAAUUCCCGGUGUAGCGGUGAAAUGCGUAGAGAUCGGGAGGAAUACCAGUGGCGAAGGCGGCCUUCUGGACUGACACUGACACUGAGGUGCGAAAGCGUGGGUAGCAAACAGGAUUAGAUCCCCUGUAGUC